rnacentral:tRNA from 1 species
GGGUGUAUAGCUCAAUGGUAUAGCGCCUGCCUGACAAGUGGAAGGUCCUGAGUUUGAUUCCCAGUACCA